UAUGUAUUAGCUCUUAAACGGUGCUCUGAAAGGUUGGCUCCCUCUGGGGGUGAGUUAACGCUGAUGGCAGGUGAAGAGAAAGAGGAGAAAGCGAUGACAUUCGAACGUCAUCCAGCGGAUCCGACCGGUCUCAUAGUGGAUGGGAGCGUGUCCAUCUUCCUUUUGGAAUUUGGAUGUCGAGCGACCAACAUCGCCCCGAACAGGCUCAGCAAAAAUCAUUAAUGAAAAAGUUCCAAAGUCAAGAAAAGAAUAUUGUCAAAGCGCGAGUGGUAUCCAGCAGCAGCAAAGCAAAAGUCGCGGGACUACGAUAACUGAAGCUAGGUCGGCCACUAGGGCCAAGAUUGACGGAUUUGGCGCCUAGCAAUUUGGGCUGGCGAAGCAGCGGCGCUCCAAGCAGCUGAUCCGUCGCAGCACAGAGCGAGGGAGCAGAGACGCAGAAAAAAUUCAGAGAGGCUCGACCUUCGCGGGCAGCCGGAUCGACGUCGGUAAGGCGGCGGCCACAAAGCGGGACGGUCGAUAAUCCGCGAUAGCGGAAAGUUCAGCACCGGCGAAAUACGAACGGAGAAAAAGGAGGAAAAUAGCGCAAAUCCUACCUAAACGUGCCGUAUGGCAAAUACAGUUAACAAGGCCCAAUUAAGAUCCGCAGCACAUAGGGAAGGAAAGAGUUAGUGUGUUGUUGGAGUUCAAUACUCAGAGCUGCAAGGGUAAUGCCCCAAAAAAA